GACAGAGGGGGCAAGCGUUGCUCGGAAUCACUGGGCGUAAAGGGCGCGUAGGCGGUCGGGUAAGUGAGAUGUGAAAGCUCUGGGCUCAACCCAGGAAUUGCAUUUCAUACUGCUCGACUUGAGUUCGGUAGAGGAGGGCGGAAUUCCAGGUGUAGCGGUGAAAUGCGUAGAUAUCUGGAGGAACACCCGUGGCGAAGGCGGCUCUCUGGUCCGAUACUGACGCUGAGGCGCGAAAGCUAGGGUAGCAAACAGG
rnacentral:rRNA from 1 species